rnacentral:rRNA from 1 species
AUGUCCGUGGACUUCCUCCACUUUUCAGUCCAAUUUCAAACAGGCAAUGUCUCUGCUGCAGCCUCCAUCACAAGGCUUAUAAGAUGGGCUCUCUCGCUCUUCUUCCCAAGUAAAACAUCGAGCUUUGUGAAAUCCACGCUGAUGGAGCUAACCAUAGCCACCCUCCUGCUCAUCUCGUUGCCUUUGAUCCUUUUGUCGUCCUUAUUACUUGGUCGUAAUAAAUCCAAAGCAGCAAGGCCUCCUGGUCCAUGGAGUCUCCUGUUCAUCGGAAGCCUACAGCACCUCCUCAUGCCACUGCCGCAUGUCGCCCUCCAUGACCUGGCCAAGAAGCACGGCCCGGUGAUGUACCUGAGGUUGGGAGAUACAGUCUGUCAAAAACAGAACAGUCUGUAG